UAAAGACCAUGGCGAACCCGUUCGCCUAUGAAGAGGACCGUAAGGACAGAAUCCGACAGAAGAUCGAGGAGUCGAGAGCUCAGAGAGUCCAGCUCAAGGCCCUAGCCAAUCUCCUGAUGGAUGACCGUUUCAAGGUGAUGUUCAAGAACGGUCAUCUAGGAGGAAUGUGCUGAACCACAUCAUGUCUAAAGUGGGUGAAAAGAGGAGGAAGAAACUCAGCCAGCUUGUUCAGCAAGAGAAACAGGAGGAGGGGUAGAGCGUUACUGACAGACUGGGAAGAGAGGAGCUGCAACAAUGUCAAAUAUGGGAAAAAUUAAUAGAUGUGUUUUUUUGAACAUUCAAGCAUGAAAACCUAUUCUAGUAGAUCCCAAAAACAAAAUCAAGAUUUUGUAAAAGGGCAUAAUAGCUCACCUUUAAAGAUGGAUUGCUCAAAUAGAAGGGACUAUUGUUGUCAAAAAUAUCAAUUGUUCGAUGCAUAUCGAUUCUGAUUUUUCAAAGUUUUUAUUUAUUAGGGGUGUAACAAUACACUGAUGUCAUGAUUCAAUUCACAAUACUGAUCUCACAAUACAAUACAAUACUGUCACAGUACUUUAAACAAAGCCAAAACAGAGUUGAAAUAGUAAGUUUUUCUUUUAGUUAUUACUUCUAAGAAAUGCAUACAUGCAAUGAAACUAUACUAGCACUCAGUGUCAGUCCGUAAUGUCAGUCCUAACCUCGUUUGACACCCAGUGGGUGGUUUAUUGACAGGUAACACAUGUUGACUCUAGGCCACAUAUAAAUGAGCGUGCCAAAUAAAGCGAGCAUGUCCUUCUGAACCUCCUAAUGGGUUUUAAAGUGCUAGACAAUUGUAUAAUGCUCCCAGACUUGGUUUUACAUGGUUAACCAUUUACACUUAA